rnacentral:lncRNA from 1 species
AAAAUAGACAAAUAUUCAUGCUGAAGCCGUAAUAAGGAACUUAACAGGAGAACAAUCAGAAGUUCUCCGGUGAAAAAUUUAGAGCAACUGGAAAAUAUGUUAUAAGGAGUUUUACUUUACCACUUUUCUCAGUAAAAAAGUUGGCAUUUUUCUCACUUUCAUGUCCCUUGAAAAUUUCACAUGCAGAAAAAUUGUCAAUGUACUUCAGAGUGAAAGAAAAAUCACGCCUUGGAUAGAUAAUUGUGUAGGUUAUCCUGGACUCGUAAUCAGGGAGGGCUUCUUGGUGGAAGUGGGCUGAGUGAGAUUUAAAAGAGGUGAGGUUGGGAAUGUGGGCAGAGGCUGGAGGUGGAAGACUGAAUAGUCUGGAAUGGAUCUGACGCUUGGUAGGAGGAGCAGCUGGAAAGGCAGGAGGAGGGCAGAAAAGGGUGGUGUCUCGGGAAUCCGUGACAAGGACGUCUAAGCAGCGGUAGAUGGUCUUCCGUGACCACGCAGGAUAAGGACUGAAAAAGCAUCUCCAGUGUCUGGGAACAAGCGCAUUAAAACAGAAAAGUGACAAGUACAAACUCCAUCCGCAGUAAGGCUAACAAUCCGGUUUCUUCGGGUCGAGGAAAAUGGCUGCUGGGCAGGCAGUAGCACCAACCGACUCAAGCAGCUUUAGGGACCUUAGGCCCGUGCUUUUGUUGCUUUGUUCUGUUUUUUACCGCAGUGGUAUAUGCAUCCCCCCAGAAAGGGCUCUUUAGUCUUUCUAUCCUGUCGGUAUUUCUUUUGACAGUGAAGGCUGGCAUCAUCCACUCGUUUACCCAGAUCUGCUGUGAGUUUAUCUAUUUUUUCCUACGUUGUUUCUCCAAAUUGCCUUUGAUGACGCCAUGAUGAUGCUUCCCCUUAGGAAACAUCCUAAAUUUAACUUUUUUGAGUCAUUUACUGUUGGGUAGGUUGCCACCGAUUUCAAAGCUAGAAUUGUUUUUAGAUUCAUCACGUACUGACUCUGAAAAUAACAUUUGGUCAUUUAUUUGGGCCUUUGAAUUUGUGAUACUAUUAUAAUCAGCAGCAUUGUGUCAAGGGUGGCAUUUAUGGCUUAAUUUCCUAUUUUCUAGUCUUGUCUUAAUGAGGACUCCGACUGGUUUUAUAGCGAACCACAUACAACAGAAUGCAACGCAUUUUAGAAAGAUCUCUUUAUCAGGAUCGUAGGCAUACUUAAUGGCCUUUUAAAAAUGGAUAUGCUUUUUAAAAAGUAGUCCUAUAAAACAUACAAUAUUCUUGAGAUUUGGAUCUAUGUUAAUGUGCUGUCAGCAGAAAUUAUAUGUGAGUUUUAUGAGGUCUAAACUCUCCAAGGGAAGUGAUUAUUUCCUGAGCAUUGGAAAUUCUCUGCAUGAUGUGUAGGUGCAAAAUAAAUGGAGAACUUCAAGCCAGAGGCACAUUUGUUCCUCUUUUUGUUUCAUCUUAUUGAAAGUACGUACUAGAAAAAUUAGGAUCCGGUUUUGGAGCUGAUGUGCUUGACCUGCAUGGCCUAGUAGAGCUUGAAGGAGUCAUUCCAGGGCGCUUUUCCAUGUAAUUUCGUUUGAACAUAGCUAAGAAAUGAGAAGAAGAUGGGGUUCACUUUCCCACACUCAUAACUUUUUAAGGUUGGCGAUCCCAGGUUUCCAGGACUGUUUCGUGUAAUCGGAUCUGUUCUGAGUGUCCUCUUUCUCCCUCUGGUCAACUAAUUACACACGUGGUUUAUUAGUUUUCUCUGUUUAGGCUUUGAAUUCACUCUAGACCCUGGAGCUUGAGAAAACAGCACUUCUCUCCGGCCCCUUCCUCGUGGAUCCCCACCCCAGCAUUUUCAGUGUGCAAGUUAUAGGAUUAUUUGCUUAUUAUAUACCUUCAUUCCAUUCCCACAGAUCUGCUUGCUUGGCGCUGUAGUCUUGGGCUAUGCCCUGGGAGGGAACAGGGUUUCGUGAGAAUUAAAAGUUUAUAUACCUGGUACUUGAAGAAUAAAAACUCUUGAAAAUGUACUUCCUUUAACGCUUUCAGUGGUUCGGUCGGCCAGAUCUUGUAGACAUAGGUGUUUAUUGUUCGGCUGAAUCCCUUUUUAGAAACGCUUGUAGCAAGCCAAAGGUAAUUUGAUUUAAUUCAAGAAUUAGCAUUACUUUAUGAAUGCCUCGGAAUUUCAUAUGUAAUGUAUACAAAAUAACAUGCCUUUAUACCGCAUGUGUGUAUGUGCGUGGAUGCACAGGUACACGCACUGUAUGUAAAUGUAGUGUGUGCACAUAUAGGCACAGUUGUUUUUUACAUCACCUCCAAACUCCUCUGUGUUCAAUUACUGUGACAUUCCGUGCAUUUGUUUUCGAUGAGACAUGGAGCCUGUGUACAAUGCAUGUACAGAAAUGUUUGAAAGGAUUAAUGGUGUAGCGCCUCAAAUGACGGGGAAUUAACUAUUUAAUUUUAUUUUAAACGUAAGCUGUUCGUGUGAGAAAACAUCUCUACCUCAUGCACCAUGUAUUUCAGAUUUAAAACUUUUUUGAGGAGUGAAACGACCAUUUUCUUCUCGUUUGUGAGCAGGCUCGUUGUUUCCUGAGAACGUGCUAGUGUCUUAGUGCGUGUGCCGUGAGGUGUGUAACGCUGCCAUCACAAAGCAGCAUUUCUAAGUGUAUAACCAGGGCUUGGAAGAGCACAUUCAACAGGUUGGAUUCCAGAUACCUAGAAACUCAGAUCGGAGGCAAAUCGGUGAUGCUGGAGGAUAUGCAGAAAAGCUCAUAGAGAGCGGGACGCGUUGCGUGGACAUCUGAGGUAGUGCAAAGUGGGUUUUUCUCAGAAAAAUCGGUGGAAAUAUUAAAUAACUAAAUAUUUAAAUGAGGGUGAGAUUGAGGUUUGUUUUUAUUUUUUGCAAUUUCCAGAAAUGCCAUAAUAGAAAUGGUAGGAUUACAGGGGACGCUUGAAUGAAGAUGUAACAUCUUGAGGGCAUUUCACGUCUAUGACAGAGACUCAGGAAAAUAUUUGAGGUCAAGAUGUGAUGGUUGUAUAAAGAAAAGACUGAACAUAGACAGUCACGUGAAGAGUAAAAUGGGUUAACCUGAGACAGCAGUAUCCAAUUUCUUUUUAAACUACUCUGAGGUAUUUGUACAGUUGAUUAAUCUGUUUUCUUGCCUCUCUUGGUGUCUGCAACAUGAUUAUGUUAUAUUUUUCCUACUUUCUUAUGACUUUUCUUUUUUUUCUUUUCUUUUUUUCUUGUCUUUUUGCCAUUUCUUGGGCCGCUCCCGCGGCAUAUGGAGGUUCCCAGGCUAGGGGUCCAAUCGGAGCUGUAGCUGCCGGCCUACGCCAGAGCCACAGCAACACGGGAUCUGAACCGCAUCUGCGACCUACACCACAGCUCAUGGCAACGCCGGAUCCUUAACCCACUGAGCGAGGCCAGGGAUCAAACCUGCACCCUCACGGUUCCCAGUCAGAUUCGUUAACCCCUGCGCCACGACGGGAACUCCUCUUCUGACUUUUGAUCUCAGUCUCUUUCUUGGGCCGACUGCUGUACACUUCCAUUUGACCUGCAUUUCUUCCGCUAUGAAUGUUUGCCCUUGAUGAAUCACCCAAACCCAUGAACUC